rnacentral:rRNA from 1 species
UUUGACCUCAGAUCAGGCAGGACUACCCGCUGAACUUAAGCAUAUCAAUAAGCGGAGGAAAAGAAACUAACAAGGAUUCCCCUAGUAACGGCGAGUGAAGAGGGAAGAGCUCAAAUUUGAAAUCUGGCGGCCUUGCGGUCGUCCGAGUUGUAAUCUAGAGAAGUGUUUUCCGUGCUGGACCGUGUACAAGUCCUUUGGAACAAGGCGUCAUAGAGGGUGAGAAUCCCGUCUACGACACGGACUACCAGUGCUCUGUGAUACACUCUCAACGAGUCGAGUUGUUUGGGAAUGCAGCUCAAAAUGGGUGGUAAAUUCCAUCUAAAGCUAAAUAUGGGCGAAAGACCGAUAGCGAACAAGUACCGUGAGGGAAAGAUGAAAAGCACUUUGGAAAGAGAGUUAAACAGUACGUGAAAUUGUUGAAAGGGAAACGCUUGAAGUCAGUCGCGUCUUCAGAAACUCAGCCUGGCUUCUGCCUGGUGUACUUUUCUGUGGGACGGGCCAGCAUCAGUUUCGGCCGCCAGAAAAAGGUGGGAGGAAGGUGGCACCUCCGGGUGUGUAUAGCCUCUCAUCGUAUGUGGCGGCGGGGACUGAGGACCGCAGCACGCCUUUAUGGCCGGGGUUCGCCCACGUACCGUGCUUAGGAUGCUGGCGUAAUGGCUUUAAACGACCCGUCUUGAAACACGGACCAAGGAGUCUAACAUGCCUGCGAGUAUUUGGGUGGUAAACCCAUAUGCGGAAUGAAAGUGAACAGUUGGGACUUCUGUCAUGGAAGGCACCGACGCCCGGACCAGACCUAUUGUGACGGAUCCGAGGUAGAGCAUGUAUGUUGGGACCCGAAAGAUGGUGAACUAUGCCUGAGUAGGGUGAAGCCAGAGGAAACUCUGGUGGAGGCUCGUAGCGAUUCUGACGUGCAAAUCGAUCGUCGAACUUGGGUAUAGGGGCGAAAGACUAAUCGA